GACGAACGCUGGCGGCGUGCUUAACACAUGCAAGUCGAACGGAAAGGCCCUGCUUUUGUGGGGUGCUCGAGUGGCGAACGGGUGAGUAACACGUGAGUAACCUGCCCUUGACUUUGGGAUAACUUCAGGAAACUGGGGCUAAUACCGGAUAGGAGCUCCUGCUGCAUGGUGGGGGUUGGAAAGUUUCGGCGGUUGGGGAUGGACUCGCGGCUUAUCAGCUUGUUGGUGGGGUAGUGGCUUACCAAGGCUUUGACGGGUCGCCGGCCUGUGAGGGUGACCGGCCACAUGGGGACUGAGAGACGGCCCAGACUCGUACGGGAGGCAGCGGUGGGGAAUAUUGCACAAUGGGCGGAAGCCUGAUGCAGCAACGCCGCGUGCGGGAUGACGGCCUUCGGGUUGUAAACCGCUUUCGCCUGUGACGAAGCGUGAGUGACGGUAAUGGGUAAAGAAGCACCGGCUAACUACGUG
rnacentral:rRNA from 1 species